AGAGAGAGAGAGAGAGAGGGGUAGAGAGAGGAAAGAAUAUUUAACUCGACGUUAGCCCCUUACGUAACACCGCACCUUAGCUCAUAUAAGAAAAAGGCUCAAUGUAUAUAGUUCGUUAACCAGAACAGGACACUAGAACCCAUACAGCAUUGAUAUCUUG